rnacentral:rRNA from 1 species
UACGAAGGGGGCUAGCGUUGUUCGGAUUUACUGGGCGUAAAGCGCACGUAGGCGGAUCGUUAAGUCGGGGGUGAAAUCCUGGAGCUCAACUCCAGAACUGCCUUCGAUACUGGCGAUCUUGAGUCCGGAAGAGGUGAGUGGAACUCCUAGUGUAGAGGUGGAAUUCGUAGAUAUUAGGAAGAACACCAGUGGCGAAGGUGGCUCGCUGGUCCGGUACUGACGCUGAGGUGCGAAAGCGUGGGGAGCAAACAGG